rnacentral:rRNA from 1 species
UACAGAGGGUGCGAGCGUUGUUCGGAAUUAUUGGGCGUAAAGCGCGUGUAGGCGGGAUGGCAAGUCGGGUGUGAAAGCCCUCAGCUCAACUGAGGAAGUGCGCCCGAAACUACUGUUCUUGAGUAUCGGAGAGGGUGGCGGAAUUCCCGGUGUAGAGGUGAAAUUCGUAGAUAUCGGGAGGAACACCAGUGGCGAAGGCGGCCACCUGGCCGAAUACUGACGCUGAGACGCGAAAGCGUGGGGAGCAAACAGG